GCGGAAGCCUGGUCUCCCCGCUCGGAGCGAGCAGUCUGCGCUUGUGAAGGCGAGGCUCGAGGCCGGCGACGGACCUCUCAGCGACAGAGGGAGGUUAGGCUGGCGGCAGCCGCUGUGUCUGGGGCCCUGUUUGGGAGACGAAAGGCAGAAAGCUGGCCCCAGUCCUCCAUGACGGACUGGCACCUCUCCAGCAACAGCUACUGGUGUUAGUUUCGCUGAACCAUUUUGCGGCGAGUAUGAGAAACACAGGGUCCUCGGAGAUUCCCUUCCCUGCUGGAGGUGGGUCUCCCUCUCCAGGGGCAAGCUCAUCCUUGGAUUCCUGUCACCUCCUUGCCCCGUCAAGAACAGACGCGGAUCUGGCAGGUGAUAUAAAGGCAGCGAGACAUUCUGACCAGUGUUUGCUCUGCCGCUGAAAACCACCCAGGCUGCUCAAGACGUGAGCGGGAUCUCCCUGAGGACGUGGAUUUACUCGCAGCCUGACCCCUAGGAGAGUCGAUGGCACAUGGUUUGGAGAGGGCUGGGAGGGCACAACGCCUUUCCAGACACAUGGUCCUCCAGAUGUCCCACCCCUCACCUCCACAUACCGGCCUGCAGAGCAUCGGUAGGCUCUACAUCCAACUUGAACUCAGCUGAACUCAGAACUCUUGAACCGGCGCUUGAACUCAGAA